rnacentral:rRNA from 1 species
UACGUAGGGUGCGAGCGUUGCCCGGAUUUAUUGGGCGUAAAGGGCGCGUAGGCGGCCACGCACGUCCGUUGUGAAAUCGCUCGGCUCAACUGGGCGGGGUCAGCGGAUACGGAGUGGCUGGAGCAAGCUAGGGGGCAAUGGAAUUCCCGGUGUAGUGGUGGAAUGCGUAGAUAUCGUAAGGAAGACCAGUGGCGAAGGCGGGUCUCUGGACAGUUCCUGACGCUGAGGCACGAAGGCCAGGGGAGCAAACGGG